AAAUAGAACUUUGCAGAGAGAGUUAAGAGGGCGUGAAACCGUUAAUUGGCAAACGAAUCGGAGCCACGAAGUCGAUGCGUUGAUUCUUAUUCAGGUUUAAAAGAAAUUUUAGGCUGUAUUUAAGAGUCAAUGUCAGCGUACACUGCAACCAGUUAGUUGGGAGAUGGAAACAGCUUGCUCAAGUUAGUAGUAGUGUGGUAAGAGCUUGCUCUAUGCGGACUACUGGACUUGUGGUAGGAGAACUAUCUCCCAGUACUGACUGGCAAAAUGAAAAAUGUUUUAAUAACAUUACAAAUAAAGCUGUUUUAUCUACUAUGAACUACAUAUUCGACUAUGGAGUUUUAAGCUCAGCAUUUUUGAAUUUAGACUUGCUUGCUACCAGUGGGGCAACUCCUGGUGCUUGUAUAGCUUCUAUCUAAUCGGGUGUUGACUUGAUUUCAUAGAUUUAAUAUGGCAUGAUAGGUUUGUAGUAGAAUAAAAUAAGCAAUUAUUGGCAGUGAGUAGGUCGGCUUUCCGAACGACCCGUCUUGAAACACGGACCAAGGAGUCUAAUUAGGCAGCAAGUCGAUCGGUCUUGAAUAGGCCAGAGUUUUUAAAUAAACUGAAGGCGUAGAGACAUGUGAAGGUCUAAAAAAAUAAUCCCGCAACAUGUCCCUGGUUAAAUUGGUGUAGCAAUAAUAGCGGAGGAAAGAGCUGCCUGAUUGGUACCCGAAAGAUGGUGAGCCUGGGCAAAUUGAAGCCAGAGGAAACUCUGGUGGAGGAUUGUAGCGGUUCUGACGUGCAAAUCGAUCGUCAGACCUGGGUAUAGGGGCGAAAGACUAAUCGAACCAUC
rnacentral:rRNA from 1 species